rnacentral:tRNA from 1 species
UAGAAAUUAGUUAAAAUAUAUAAUAUAAGCUUGUCAUGUUUAAGUUGAAACUGUCAUUUCUAA